rnacentral:rRNA from 1 species
UGGCGGACGGGUGAGUAACGCGUGAGCAACCUGCCCUUCGGAGGGGGAUAGUGUCUGGAAACGGACAGUAAUACCGCAUAACGUAUUUUUACCGCAUGAUAGAAAUACCAAAACUGAGGUGCCGAAGGAUGGGCUCGCGUUGGAUUAGAUAGUUGGUGGGGUAACGGCCUACCAAGUCGACGAUCCAUGGCCGGACUGAGAGGUUGAACGGCCACAUUGGGACUGAGACACGGCCCAGACUCCUACGGGAGGCAGCAG